UACGAAGGGGGCUAGCGUUGUUCGGAAUUACUGGGCGUAAAGGGCGCGUAGGCGGCUUGGCAAGUUGGGCGUGAAAGGCCUGGGCUUAACCCGGGAAAUGCGUUCGAUACUGCCGAGCUAGAGUGUGGGAGAGGAUGGCGGAAUUCCCAGUGUAGAGGUGAAAUUCGUAGAUAUUGGGAAGAACACCAGUGGCGAAGGCGGCCAUCUGGACCACAACUGACGCUAAGGCGCGAAAGCGUGGGGAGCAAACAGG
rnacentral:rRNA from 1 species